UACAGAGGGUGCUAGCGUUGUUCGGAAUUACUGGGCGUAAAGGGCGCGUAGGCGGUUUCGCAUGUCCGAUGUGAAAGCCCACCUCUUAAAGGUGGAAUUGCAUCGGAAACUGCGAGACUAGAGUGCCGGAGAGGGUGGUGGAAUUCCUGGUGUAGAGGUGAAAUUCGUAGAUAUCAGGAGGAACACCGGUGGCGAAGGCGGCCACCUGGACGGUUACUGACGCUGAGGCGCGAAAGCGUGGGGAGCAAACAGG
rnacentral:rRNA from 1 species